GGGAAGACCUCAUUUACACCGCCUUAGCUACAGUACCUCACCGGUGGUACUGUUCAUCAGGUUUAAUUCUCAACCUGGUUCACUGCCUCGAUUUCAUUCCAGCAUUUUCCUUCACUCUUUAACAGACGAUCCAACCCCUCUUACCCACCAUCUUCUCCACCGACUGUCACCACUACCAUCGGCCUUUGUUCUAUCAUACACCUUUUCCACUGCCCGGUCCUCUGCUCUGCUAUUCCAGCCGUGGAUCAUCACCCACCUGUCUUGCACGUCCAGCACCGUCGACCACUCCUACUAUCUGCCAUCGUUACAUCGACCAAAAUCGACACUACUCAUCACUGCACUCAUGCUACAAAGAUAUAGCUGGUACGCCUUCUUCCGCCUUCAAUCUCUGAAGCUACUCCAUGCACCAUCUUCUUCCUCCUACAUCUGGUAAAUAUUUAAAAAGGUAUCGAAGCAGCCAACAACAACCAAUCAGAUUUUGAAGCUCUGACCUCAGGUAUUUGCAAUGAAGUGUAUACAAACUGUAGCAGUAGCUCCGCGCGAAGAACAACAGUUUUUGGAGGUGAUUUGGAAUGUAUCACAUGUAAGACAUUCGAACAUCAAAGACUGAAGGGUAUAUACGAGAAAUAGUAUUGUACUUUCGUUUAAUUUUGUAUUGUAGCAUUUUACUUUCACUUUUUCUUAUUAUAGCAUCCUACUUUCAUUACGUCCAAUGUAACACCUUUGAGAAUCAAA